UACGUAGGGCGCGAGCGUUGUCCGGAAUUAUUGGGCGUAAAGAGCGUGUAGGCGGCCAGGUAGGUCUGCUGUGAAAACUCGAGGCUUAACCUCGAGCUGUCGGCGGAAACCAUCUGGCUAGAGUCCGGAAGAGGAGAAUGGAAUUCCCGGUGUAGCGGUGAAAUGCGCAGAUAUCGGGAAGAACACCCGUGGCGAAGGCGGUUCUCUGGGACGGUACUGACGCUGAGACGCGAAAGCGUGGGGAGCAAACAGG
rnacentral:rRNA from 1 species